GAUGAACGCUGGCGGCGUGCCUAAUACAUGCAAGUCGAGCGAACGGACGAGGAGCUUGCUUCUCUGAUGUUAGCGGCGGACGGGUGAGUAACACGUGGAUAACCUACCUAUAAGACUGGGAUAACUUCGGGAAACCGGAGCUAAUACCGGAUAAUAUUUUGAACCGCAUGGUUCAAAAGUGAAAGACGGUCUUGCUGUCACUUAUAGAUGGAUCCGCGCUGCAUUAGCUAGUUGGUAAGGUAACGGCUUACCAAGGCAACGAUGCAUAGCCGACCUGAGAGGGUGAUCGGCCACACUGGAAGUGAGACACGGUCCAGACGCCUACGGGAGGCAGCAGUAGGGAAUCUUCCGCAAUGGGCGAAAGCCUGACGGAGCAACGCCGCGUGAGUGAUGAAGGUCUUCGGAUCGUAAAACUCUGUUAUUAGGGAAGAACAUAUGUGUAAGUAACUGUGCACAUCUUGACGGUACCUAAUCAGAAAGCCACGGCUAACUACGUG
rnacentral:rRNA from 1 species